rnacentral:rRNA from 1 species
GGCAAGUCUGGUGCCAGCAGCCGCGGUAAUUCCAGCUCUAAUAGCGUAUAUUAAUACUGUUGCAGUUAAAACGCUCGUAGUUGAACUUAGAAUUAUUACAAGUUAUUUUACUUGAUUGUAAAGUGCUUGCUUAAUUCUUAUCUACUAGAUACUCUAUUCUGUACUUAAUUGUAUGGAAUAUCACCUAGCUAGUGGAACUUUUGGUAGAAUAAUGCCUUUUUUGAUACCAGAGUGUAAAAACUUGAAGUGUUAAAUUGGGAUCACAUUAUUUUAUUGAAGUGGGGUUCUAGUUAAUUUACUUUGAGUAAAUUAGAGUGUUCAAAGCAGCCUCUUGGGGCUUUUGAAUAGAUUUAGCAUGGGAUAAUAGAAUAGGAUUUGAUAAUCUAUUUGUUGGUUUGAAUUAAUCAAAUAAUGAUUAAUAGGGACAGUUGGGGGCAUUCAUAUUAAGUGGUUAGCGGUGAAA